GGGGCAUAGCGCAGUCUGGUAGCGCAUCUGGUUUGGGACCAGGAGGUCGGGAGUUCAAAUCUCCCUGCCCCUCCA
rnacentral:tRNA from 1 species